UUCCCAAUAGAGAGAGGUCAGGUUAAGUUGGUUUCUCACUAUCUAUUUUAGAACAUUCUAGUGGGAAGAGUCCCUUUGUGAAACUUUAGAUUUAGGUACAUGGAUCCCCUGUGUCUAGCACACAGCUAUUUGUCAAUAGCUGUUGUGCAAACACAUGGUCCAAUGAGUCAUGGUCAGGGUAACAAAAAAACAUGACACAAUGGAAGACACAGCCUUUCACUUCAUUCCCAGAAAGGAGCUAUUGGAGUGUCAGGCACUUGUAGAGCUUCCCUUUUGCAGAUGCUGAGUUUCUAGCCCAAUCCGACUAUGGACUGCCAGUUCCCCAUGCAUCGAAAUGUCCUUUGGGAAUACCACAUUGGCAUUGGAAUAAUUCCCUUGGUUCAUGUGUAUGUGUAUUACUGAAACCUAUGUGUACUAUUCCAAUGGAAAUUCUGCCGUUGAAUAGGAAAACACCAACCUGGGCCAUCAAGAGUAAAGGGCAAGCUACAGCUUUAUGCUUUAAGGAGCAAUGGAGAGGGCAGACUAAGAAAAAGGAGGGCUACUUGUGAAGGAACUAAAAGGAGAUGCUUGGGAAGAGGAAGGUCCCGGGCGUAAGAUGUAGGUGAUACCAGGCUUUUCCAUGGGGCUGGCUUUGAGAAGAGAUGGUGUUCUUUUAGGGAGCAUGGAAGGAACUAGGAGAUGGCCUUUUCUACAGAUCAGGGGUCCCAAGUCUGAGAGUAGCCAAGGAAAGGCAACUUCAGUUAGAGCCCGGAGUCAUCCAAUGGAUCAGAGAGUGGCCCAAGAUAGCAGAGAUUUGAAUGGGAAAUAUGAGAGAAUGACUCAGAACUUAAUGAAAAUUGUCCUACUCUAUCUCUUCUCCCUCUCCCCAACUUUCUAAGGACGUGGGACAAUUGAAGGCAGCAAAACUAUUUCUCCUCUUGUUCUAAAGUAUUCUUCUACAAAAAUCAAAUAAUACCAGACUUUUUCUUUUGUAUAAGAAUAACUUAAUGGGGAUACAAUUCUCAUGUAAAAACUUUACUUGCCCUGUUUUCUCUUGAAACUUUGGGACUUGCUCUUAACUAGCCUUCCAUGUGUACCUGUCAAUGACCACAUUAAUGAUGAGUUGUAAAUGAUGUCAAGGGAAAUACUCGGGAGUAUGUGAUCAUGCUUAGGUCAUGAGGUUUUUUUUUUUUUUUAUAGAUUUGAGUUACAUUGCUCUGGUUUUCUGUUGCAUUUAUACACAGCAAUCUAGUCAUAUUUUCUGCUCAUAAAAGUCAUACCUAGUCAUACCUAGUUCAGAUACCAGGAUUAACUGCAUCUUUUUUUACUGGGGCUGUGCAAGGAUCAUGGUAUUCUGUGAUUCCCAGGUGUUCUGCCACCUGGACAACAUACAGAACUUUUAUAUGGUCAUGGUUUCCAUACGUGACUCUUGCGUGUGGCUACAAUAUUUGUUAUUGCUGAUUGUACGUCCCAGAUCAUCUUUCCAUAGCACUUUAUUAGGAGUUCUAAUAAAGUGCUAUGGAAAGAUGCAAAUAAAACAUGCAAAGGGUUUUAUUUGCCUAGAUUUACCAGACAGAGUUGAAGCUUGCAAGGUGGUAUUGUGUAUAGAGAGCCACGCCCACUGGGACAUGUGGCAAACGCAAGGAAAUGCCAAAUGGAUAAGUUUCUCAGGAAGGUCGGGAGGUGAGUCCUGUUUCUGGGGAAGCUGUCCCCCAGCCACAGGGCAAAUCAAUACCUGAACCUGCUCUUACAAAAUGGAAGUUGAAAGCACUCCAUAACCGGUUGAUUAGGCUUAGAAAAAUAACUGGAAAGAUGAUCAAAAACAUUGAGUAUCUGCCACGUGCCUUAGAAAUACAGUCAUUUGAGGAGAGCCAAUCCAAAGCGCCAGUUUAUGGGAGGAAGAACCAAGAUAUGACAAGCAUCAAGAAGCUUCCAAAUGAAUAGAUUUAGUUGCCUGCCACAGAGAUCUGGGUGGUGAAAUCAUGCCUGAUUUCAGAAAACUGGCUUCUUUGGAAGGCUAAUGCCUGAAAUCAGAUUUCCCAAAGGCUGGCUAGAAAGAGAAAUGUUAUCUCAGUAUUCAAUCCAAAUCGUUGGAGCUCCAAGCCAAUGUCCUUGAGAGAACAAUCAGGUUUUAAGCAGCACAAUCCAAAUAUAAACACUAAGCCUGAAGAGCAAGACUUAGCUUCAGAAGAAGAAAGAGGAGGCAGAGCCCAGGGUCAGAAUAGAAUGUCUAGUAUUUAUGGAGUACUUACCAUUUAAGUACCAGACACUGAAGAAUAUUUACAAAUUAACUCAUUUAAAUGAGAAUGAUGCUAAUAGCAUCCCCAUCUUGCACAGGGAAUUCAAGUAGCUUUUCUAGGGUCACACAACUAGAAAGCUGUUGAAUUGGGAUUUAAACUCAGAUAAUAUGAAGCAGCUCAGAUACCAUGUUUCUGUGGCUGUGGCAUAGGCCUGCAGCUGCAGCUCUGAUUCCACCCCAGCCUAGGGACUUCUCUAAAAAGACGAAGAAAAACAAAACAAAACAAAAACACAAACAAUAAAAGGAACAGGUGUGGACCUAGACUUGAACAAACAAGGAGAAUUCAGGAUGAUUCACCCAAAUAAAAUGAAGUCUUUAUUUUGCUUCUCUGGCUCUCUGUGUGUAGUUGAUGUGUAUCAGGAAGGCUUGAUGUUAGAAGAAGGGACAGAGAAUCAUACAGUGCUUAGGAAUUCGUGGGCAAUGAUCCCUUGCAAGUUUGGAGGUCAUCACUCUUCUGAGAACUCGCUCUCUGAAGAGUCCUUCCUCAUUUGCAUUUUCUACCGCUGACGUGUCAGGUGAUAUGUUUGUGAGUCAUUCCUAGCAGACGCAUUCAAGGGUAUCAUCUACAUGGUUCAGACAGGAGCCAAGCUGCUGCUGCUUCCUGUUUGCCUAUCUCAGGGUAUUCAUGGGCACCAAACUGAGGCUAGCCCCAUGGCCCCAAGGCCAGCAAAUAGAAGGCAAGAUUCAAUCACUUCCUAGCUGGCGUCUGGUUUCCUCAACCCUCAAUUACAUUUGCUGGCCUUGUCUGAAUGCAGGGUUGGUGGAAGUGACCCUUAUGAAAGAGAAGACCUCAAAAUUCUCUCUGGCCUUGCUCUCAGGAGACCCUCCAGCCCCUGAAAUGCAGCAUGUAAGCUCUUGUGACUCUUGUUCUAUAAGAAAAGUCUUAGUAUUACAGCUUACAAGAAAAAUCCUAAAAUAAGCCUAGGAAAAUAAGACUGACUUAUCACUCCUUUCCCACCAAGCACCACUAUUGUAAAUAAGAAACCAAAUAGACACCCCACAACCACUCUCCCAUGCCAUGUGUACCCCUUCCCUGCUCGGAACUGCAGGAAGCAAUCUCCUUACCCUGAAAUUGUCAGGAAGGCACUAGCUGACAGGUUGUGUUAUUGCUUCUGAUCCCAUUGGUCACAUUGAGUAACAUCUUAACUCCUAACCUAAUCCGAUGGAUGCAGCUUGACAGGGCGUAGCAGGGAUGCUGGUCCAACUUCGCACAGCUGUAUUCAGACCCCGCCUCCCAGCAGGCUGCUGAAUACCUGCACAGCAUUCAAAGUACUUGAGAGCAUAAGCCUCCCUCAAAAUAGGUGCAAGAGCAGCAGCCUAUCCCUAAAUGCAGCAUUAAGUCCUGACAAAUACUUACGGCUAUUCUUGAUUUCCUAUUUGAAGACAGUUCAAGAUCUUUAGUUAGUCUAAGAAAAAGUGUUGUUUAGAUGGCUAAAGUUGUAGAGACCCUCAGAAGUACUUUAUAUUCAAUAAAAUCAUUACAUCAAUACAGAUGGCCAUGUCAAUGACGUCUUACUCAUCUCCAUCUUAAAAUAGGAGGAUUGAGCAAGUCAAUUCCAUGCACUGUCUCUUCCUUGGGAUAAAUUUUUAGAUUUUGUAUUUGUUUUACUUUAUUAUAGGCAAGUGUGUGCUAAGAGGAAUUUAGCUUUUCUGUGCCUGGGCCUCCGUCUAGAUAAUCAGGGAUGUUCUGAUUUUAUGGCCCAGAGUUACUUAGGUUGACCUCCUGGGUCCCUGUAUGUGCCCAAGAUGCAGACUCAAGUCAUAUGGUGUCAACUUCUUUACACCCCAUCCCCACCUCCUGCCUUUGAAGGUACAAGAGUGAGGGCAUAGCUUGCGUAAAAUUCCCUUUUUCUCUCUCAAUACUUAUUUGAAAAAGCCGUCAUUCUUGUUUUGCCUGAAAAUUAACUCUUAACUCUUACCUCGGGCCCAUCCUCCAUGACCUCCCAGCAUCUCUGUAGUCAGAGAGAUCUAAUCUUGAGCCUUGUCUCUGACCUUUAGCAGAUGUGAAUUCUUACACCAGUUACUGAACAUAGAUAGCUUCGGUUUCAGCAUCUGUACAAUGGGGAAAUACUACUUCAGUUCUGCUGGGUGAUUUUAAGAAUUAAGUGAUAUAUGCAUACAAAGUGCUCAGCACAGCGUCAGACACAUGGGUGGGACCUGCUCAGAGAUCAUCCUGUUUAGGAGUCAAGGUUGUAGUGAUGCCAGAUGUGGGCUUUGGAGGGGGACCCACCCCUGUUCGUUGUCCAGAUCUGUUACCUACUGCCCCUUUGAGCAAUAUUACUUCUCUGAAUCUUGUUUUCCUACAAUAUAACAAAAGCAUGAUAUAAUAGUGACGACUGCCAUAACAGGAUAAGUGGGCACGAAAAUUUAAUCACAUAAAACAAGGGGUUGCAUUAGGGAAAUAAUUGGAGUGAGUCUUUUUCAGUAGGCUGGCUAUAAGGUAGAAGAGUCCAUCUAGGCAUUCUAAACCCGUCUGGCUUCUGACUUCGAUUUAGCAUCCUCUGGUGGCAAGUAUCCCCUGCAGCUUAAAUAUCGAUGGGGAGAUUCUGCAUCCCACUGAAUCAGUGGAAUUUCCUGCCCUUCCCUGUUGUCUCUCUUGUCUCAGCCUGUUGAGCCAGGAGAAUGUUGGAAACUCAGGGACACAUCCUUAGCCUCUCUAACACCCAGACAAGGUUGUCUGAUAUUUCAUUGCCCAAUCUCACCUGCAGAAACUAAAAACUUUAUCCUACCACUGUCUAUCUAAAAAUGGGGUUGGGCGAGAGAAAAUUGCCAAUUGUAUCAUAUGAAAUCGUGUUACCGUGGGGUAUUUUUGCCAUGGAAUUUUAUUGUAUCUAUCUUUAAACAUUUUUAGAGUUAUGUGAGACUAAACACGAAAUGCACUAUCUCCUAUGUGAGCCGCUAUAACAAAAUACUGGGUAGCUCAUAAGCAACCGAAAUUUCUUUCUAGCAGUUUCAAAGGUUAGGAAGUCCAAGGUCAGUGUGCCAGGAAGCUUGGGUAAGGGCCACCUUCCUGGUUCACAGCUGGCACCUUUUCAUUGUCCGCAUAUGGUAGAAGUGGGCUAAGGAUCUCUGGAGCCUCUUUUAUAAAGCACAUAUUUCUUUCAUGAAGAUUCUAUAUCAUGACUUCUGUACCUCCCAAAGCUCCACCUGCUAACACCAUCACCUUUGGGGGAUAUGAUUUUAGCAUCUGAAUUUGGGGAGACACAAACGUUCAGAUGAUAGCAUGCACUUAAUACAACUCCUGGUAUAUUCUUAUUAAAUCAUAAGAAACAUUAUUAUUGAUAAAAUAUAACACAUAACUUAAAACAGAAGUCCUGGAGGUUUUCUAGGAAUAUAAAGAAGUAAACUGACCUAAACUAGAACUGCAUUUAAUAGGAAUUCCAAACUGGGAAGAGAUUACUAAAAUCCUGUAAUAUUAGAAUUUGUGAAAUUUACCGCCUAUGUGAUUUCCCCUAUGCGUAUAGAUCCAGGAGGAACCCCGACUGGCAGAGAAGGGGAAGGUAGGACAACGGGGUGACCUUCUCCCAUUGUGAUCCUUGUCACAAGGGGCUGGUACUGUACUGGGUUUCUGAAGGCACAUUUUUGGUGCUCAGAGCAUAGCUGUUGCAACAUGUUCUUGAAAUCAUUCUUUGAACAGUAGUUUUAAUUCCAUUCCUCAGUAUCGUGCUAUGUUUUAUGCUGAGUUCUAGAGGCAGAAGGUAGAGAUAUGGAUGCU
rnacentral:lncRNA from 1 species